rnacentral:rRNA from 1 species
GACGAACGCUGGCGGCGUGCUUAACACAUGCAAGUCGAACGGAAAGGCCCUGCUUUUGUGGGGUGCUCGAGUGGCGAACGGGUGAGUAACACGUGAGUAACCUGCCCUUGACUUUGGGAUAACUUCAGGAAACUGGGGCUAAUACCGUAUAGGAGCUCCUGCUGCAUGGUGGGGGUUGGAAAGUUUCGGCGGUUGGGGAUGGACUCGCGGCUUAUCAGCUUGCUGGUGGGGUAGUGGCUUACCAAGGCUUUGACGGGUAGCCGGCCUGAGAGGGUGACCGGCCACCUUGGGACUGAGAUACGGCCCAGACUCCUACGGGAGGCAGCAGUGGGGAAUAUUGCACAAUGGGCGGAAGCCUGAUGCAGCAACGCCGCGUGCGGGAUGACGGCCUUCGGGUUGUAAACCGCUUUCGCCUGUGACGAAGCGUGAGUGACGGUAAUGGGUAAAGAAGCACCGGCUAACUACGUG